AUUCAACUGACGAGUCCCAAAUAGGACGAAAUGCGCGUUUUAGAU
rfam:Schistosoma mattheei strain Denwood, Zambia genome assembly, scaffold: SMTD_scaffold0006400